rnacentral:lncRNA from 1 species
UCAGGUCCGGGAGUCCGGACUCGAUCCCUCUGAACUCCCCUAAUCUCUUAUCUCUCGUACCCAACCCUAAUUGGGUUCACUUGAAAAACGCAUAAGGAGAAGAAGUCGAAGAUCUAAGACCUUCUCCUCUUGGCUCUCCUCUUCCUCGGCACCUUAGGUCGUGCUGAUCGACUUCCUACGGACGAGAUUUCGAUACCCACCCACCAGCCCACUGGUCCAAGAAUCCUUAUCUUGGUAUUUCCUCCUCGGCACCUUAUAUUGGUUACUGCUUCGCUGUCCUUCGUUACUGCUCUUCUUCUUUUGCCGGUAAAUCUUCUCUCCCUUCUUCAUCUAUUGUUUGUUAUUACUUGAUUUGUUCUUAUUAAUCUUUAUAAAUCGAUUGUUCAUUAUUGCUUUGUUGGUAUUUCUUUUUCAAACCCCUUUUUUGUUUGAUUACUGUGAAUUUUUUGUGAUUUUGAAAUAUUAAACCCCUUUUGGUGGUUAUUGAGAAUUCUUGGUGAUUUCAUCUAUUGGUGAUUAUUGUGAAUUCUUGGGGAUUUCAAACCCCUUUUUUCAAAUCUCCUUCACUGCUUUUGGUGAUUUUUUGUUGGCAUCCCAAAAUAUGUUGUUAUUAGACUUGAGGAAAAUGCAGUGUCUUCUACUGAAUAUAGUUGCAUAAUACAUGCAGAGUGAUGCUAUUUAAUAAAAUUUCGCAGCUUUGAAGGUUUGUUAUAUAAUGAUUUUGGGCUUUGUACAGUUUGCCUUUCGGUAGAUGAGAGUCCAUAUGCCUUGUUUAUUCCGAAUGUUGAAUAUGGCAUUGUAAGUAAAUUUGGUUGUGCCUUUGCGUUGAAUGAAGAUAAAUCUCUUUUAUUUCUUAUUUCUUUUAUACUUUCCCCCCUGUUAAUUAUGAGGUUCUUAGUUAACUGCCUUGAUCGAAAGUCUAGGAUGAUAUUAAGUGUUUUGUUCACUUGAAGCCAUACUAUUGUUGCCCAAAGAAAUCCUGAAGGCACAAGGAUUAUUCCCAGAUCAGAGAAUUGGACGAAAAAAGGAGUGCCAAGUGUGUCGAAAAACUUUUCUUACCCUUUUCUAAGUAGUUCUCAUAGUCUUCUGGUGCUUGAUGUUUCAUAGAUAUGGAACAAAUUGCUUCCUAUUUUCUUGUUGUUACAGUUAGAGAUAUGUUUCAUAGAUUAAUAACAUUAUAUAGUUUAUAAACCAUCUUUAAAAAUAUAAUCUUAGGAAUAAAACACUAAAAAAAAUUAAUAACAUUAUAUAGUUUAUAAAAUCAAAACAAAGCAACAUUCAUUAAAUUGGUUAUUCAAUUUGUUAAACAAUUUGUACAUAACAAAAAUUGUUUACAAUAGUAAACACGAUGAAUAUUGAAUGUAAAUUUUAAUUGUCUAUAAGAGUAUGCAAGUAAAAAUAUUAUUCAACACUACUUCUUACUCAUUCAACCAUAAAUUUGUACUGAAUCGUUCACACCCAUUCAGAGUUUAAAAAGUGUUAAACAAACGGACCGAAUAACUUAUUCGGUCAGAUUUAGACUCAUUCAAAGCUUGAAAUAUCAAAGGCCUUGCAUUUUGCCACCUCUUUUUACAUGUAAUGUGUAUAACCUCAGGUUUUGUCUGCGGCAGCCAAUGCAGUUUCCUUCAUUUCGAGCAAGGCGUCUUGGAAACAUUUGGCAAGAAGUUGAGGGUCAGGGAUUAUAACUUUAGCCACCAGGAUUUGCAUGUCUGCCCUUCCUGCGUAACUCACCAUGUGCAUUAUAAUUGCCUGCAAUUCCAUCCAAUGUCAAAAGAAAAAGUAUAUAAUUAAUUACAUAAGAAAAAGUAUUAAAAUAAAAAUAUAUAUAUAGACACCAAAUUGGGUUUAGAAGUUUUACAUGGGGGAUGCUUGUGGAAGUUUUACAUGGGGGAUGCUUGUGGAAGUCUCUCUAAUGUAUUCUACUGGAUUGCCUGCAAUAGUUACCUCCUCCUUGGGACCAACCACAUUUGAGAAAGUGAAAGUUGUAUUACAGUAAAUUCUGUAGUUUAGCAACCCUGCAAACUAGAAUGAAUAAUCAAUAACAAAUGCAAACCAAAACAAGAAAAACCCGAAUGUAACACUUAGUAUUUGGUAGGUAGGGGUUAAAUAUAUAUGCUAGACUCCGGUUUACAAAUGCAUCACUGAACUGAAUUUUUUUACGGUCAAUUCAUGGAACUAUACAUUAUUUACAAAAAAUGAUUUUGUCGUCGUCUAUGUCUGUUAACCAUUUAACAGAAAAUGGACGUGGCAAUACUGACAAGGAGAGAUAAACUGAGUUGGAUAACUAACUAAAUUAAAUUAUACUGAAUUCUCUAACAAAUAGUUAAACAAAAUAUAAAUCAAAUUAAUAUACAUAACACAUAAUUAAAUUAAAUAAAUAAAUUAAUAAUAAAAUAAAUUAAUGAAUAAUUUUUACAAAUGUAUUUAUAUAAAUUAAUGAAUUCAUAUUUUUUUAAUUUUAUUUUAAAAAUAUGAAAUUAUCUAAUAUUUUGAAAUGAAGGGAUUAUUAUUAUUAUCACCGAACCACAACCACCGAAAUCACGGCCUUACCACUGAACCACCAAAAUCAGUGCUCAACACCGUCGUCACAUAUGCAAAGUUACCGCCUCACCACCACCACAACCCCACCUUCUUCUAUCUCACUCAUUUCUCCCAUCUCUCUCUAAAUCAAAUCAGGAGAAUGGAAAUGAAAGAUUUGUGAGAAGGAAUGGCCUAAAUCGAGUCAACUCAAAAAAUAAAAAAAAAUCGAGUCAACUCAAUGGCCUAAAUCAGAUCUGUGAAAAGGAAACUAAUAGAAUUUUUGAACUCUGGCCUUGAGAACUAUUGUUCUUCGAUCUCCAAUUCCAUGGCUUCAGGAAGAAUGGAAAUGAAAGAAAAUGUGGAGAGUCCUCCUCUAUAUUCUCUGCCUCCUUCAAUGGAGGAAUCUGAAUUAGGAAUAUAAAAUCUUCCACCAUUUUCCAAUCAAUUUUCUCUUUCUUCAAAACCAUAUCUGCUUUCACAAAUCUAGAGAGAGAAAUGAAAUGGAAUUUGAAUUUGGAGAGAGAAAUUUAGGUAUUGAUUUGAUUUGGUUUUCUUAAUCUUUUGAUUUGUUUUAAUUUCUUUUUUAACUUUUCUUUUAAUUUGUAAUUUAAUUUUCAAUGUGGCAACAGUUAGGAUGAUAGCACUAUUGGUGUUUCGAAAUAUUAAACCCCUUUUGGUGGUUACUGUGAAUUCUUGGUGAUUUCAUCUAUUGGUGAUUAUUGUGAAUUUUUGGUGAUUUCAAACCCCCUUUUUCAAAUCUCCUUAACUGCUUUUGGUGAUUUUUUGUUGGCAUCCCAAAAUAUGUUGUUAUUAGACUUGGGGAAAAUGCAGUGUCUUCUACUGAAUAUAGUUGCAUAAGUUAUUUUGGAAAGAAGUACUAUGUUAUUUUUGUGUUCUACUGCUCUUGUGUUUGGAAUGUCUCGAGUUGCAACUUUUUUCAGUUAUAUGUAUGCUAAUUAUUGUGAAUUUUUUUUGGGUUUUCAGUUUAUAUAAUUGUUUAAGUACUUUAGUUUACUUAGAUUAAAGUUAAGAGUUUGAUGGAAUUUUAGUGUAUUAGUUGGAAAAUUAGGAAUUUACUAUAACCAGGUCACUCAUUCAUUUAACUUUUUUUUAAAAUUGUUUUGAUUCAUCUAUUUCUUUUUUCUCAUCUGAAUUAAUGUUCUAAUACUUUAAUCAAGGUUUAUAUACUCUGUCAUCAUAUUUUCUUUGUUUAUAUUCUUAUUUAAAUGAUUAUGGAGGCUUGUUUUGUGUAUUUAAUAUUUUAAUUUAUUAUAGUUCUAUAUUAGUUUGGAAAAAAUUGGAUUGAAUUGAUGUGUGUUUGCAGUUUUUGCUCAACACAAAUUUUUAUUACUGUACAUAAUUAUUACCUUGGUUCAUGCUGAAGAGAAAUAUGUUGCAAAUUAGAAUGUUUGAUUACUUUCAGUUUGGUUUCUUACAAAAUGUAUGAAAUUCUAGAAGAAAUAAGAACCCAUUGUCUGAGGGUUUAGAUUUAUUGGGUUUAUGAGGUUCUUAAUUUGGUUUUUCUUUUUUUAGGGUUCCUUUUGAUUGCUUUGAUGUUUACAAUUAUGUUUCUUGGUUAAAUUGAUCAGCAUUUCGUCUUUGGCUUCCCUUUGUGCGGAGUUAUCUUGGGCAAACUGGCUCUAUUGAUUACACUUCCGCGGUUCAAUAUAUAUAUAUAUCAGUCAUAAUGUGUAAUAGCUUAUUUUCAAGUAAAAUGAGUGAAUGGAUUUGGUUCGCAGACCAUUUUCUGCUUAUGAUUUCAAAAAUUUGUUCAAAAACUGUAUUAUAAGCCCAAAUAGUGACACUUAGUAAAUGGAUGGAAGCUAACCUGAAUAUCAAAAUAGGUUAUUCUCAAUAAUACGGGUGUUCUAUUUAUUAUUUGCUUGCUACUCAGAUGUUCAAAUAUGUUACCUUGAUUUACGGUUCAAUUUGUAGUGUGUACAUACAUAAUAAGAUCAUCAAUUAAACAUCUAGACAUUUGACAUAAUAAUAAACCGUAACAGUAGUAGCCAAGGAUAUUAUCCAACAAGCUAUGACACAAGUGAGUAUGCCACUUUCCAAAUUACAUAUUAUGACAAAGAAGAAAGGAUAAUUCGUGGGUGCAUGGGUGCAUUCAUAGCAGUAGCAGCAAGCUCCCCUUUCAAGGCUCCAACAACUUCGACAAUUUCAAUUGCCACUCCUUCCUGCAUGGCAUAAUCAAAUAAUAAUUCUUGACAUCAUGAACGAUACUACAAUAUAUAUUAAGAAUGAAAAGUGAUGGGUCAUCACAAACCUGAGCUUCCAUGGUACUGGCACCAAGAUGUGGUGUUACAGUUACAUUUUCAUGUUGUACCAACUUGUUGUCCUUCGGCGGUGGCUCUACUAUUAAAACAUCAAGUUAAUCAGCUUCAAAGCCCUGCCAAUUUUAGUGCAAUAUAAACUUAAUCAGUGUUUCAAAAUUCAACUAAAUCUAGGUGCAAUCCCUGAAUUUUUUUCUCUUCUUUAUCCUUAUACAGUUACUAUGCCUACCUUAUCAAGCUACUCUUUUCAACCCUAAUAAACCCACUUCACAGUAUCAACCUUCCUUCCAACAACAGUAUGUCCUUACAAUCCAAAACAAAAAACACAAAAGACAUGUCAAGUUAUUUUUAAUGGGUUACUUUUACCAAUAUCAGAGUUCAGAACAACAACUUUAAUCAAAACAGUAAGCAAGUGCUUUUUUUUCUAUUUAAGUUUCCAAUACCUUACCCAACCAAUCCCAAAUAAAAGUCUUGCCUAUAUGCGUUGAAAUUAGUCCCUAACAGUUGUAUGUUGUUUUCCAUCUCACAUACUACUUUGCCUGCCUUUAGUGAUAUCAAAUUUUGUCACCUAUGGUUUGUCUAGAAUUUUUUGUGGAAAGAGUGCUACAGUUUUGAUAAAGGUUGUUAAUGGAGUUUGGGUUCAAAAGAAUAAAAAGAAAGAACGCAAAGAGGCUUCAUUGAAAAACACAAAGAAAAAUACAAAGAUUUCUAAAAUUAGGGUCAAGGAACAAAAGCUCAAGACCAUUGAUUAAGUUAAAAACAAUAAAAAGAAAGAAGUAAAGAAUGGAAAAUGAGCGGUUGGAAGAAAAAAUAUUUCUAUUUCAUUGUAAUCCAUUGACUGCUUAUUGCCAAAGCGUCCUUAUACCCAGCAGUAGUAAAUUAAUAUUCUAUUUAAUUACACUUGCUUAAGAAAUGCUUUGAACUUUGAAUUAAGUCUAUUACUUGACAACUAUUUAUGUGGAGAAACUUUUAAAUUUAUUUGUUAUUGUUUCUUUCCUUUCUGAUGUAUCGAAUAAAAUUCAUCCAAAUACUGAAUUCCUCACUUUCAUGUGCCUCCUAAUGAGUAAUGACUAUGAUCGAUUGCUUGACUUAUUAAACUUGGAAUCACAUUAUCUGUUAUGUUAUGUUAGGUCGAUUGGAGUGAGUUAUAUAUUUGGCUAUUCUUUUUGUUUUCUUCCAGAAAAUCAAAUUCGUUGAAAUCCUUUUCAUGAACAUUAUUUUUAAUGAAAAAUGACACCAAUUAAAGAAAUGUCAAGAAAAUAAACUCAACCUUUUAUCCUGAUUCAACUUCCAACAGUUUGAAAUCUCAACUAUCAUCAAAAUUGAGGGAAUUCCUCUCUUACAGAAUAAUAUAUAGUAAAAAAAAAAAAGAGCUAGGCUCGGAAGAUUUGGAACAAUAGUAUUGAAUGUAUUUUUGAAACUAAGCAUAGUUUUGAUCAAAUGUUUAGUUUUUGUCAUGAUAUUCAAGAUACGAAAUCUGUCUUUGCAGCUUCAUUUACUCAUGUUUAACUCAUUUUUAAUUUAUUAAGUUUGGUGAUAGUAACAACAUACCUGUCAAUGUUUUGUCUGAAUGUGCUCUUAAUCAAUUACAUAUGGAGAAGGUAACACUACUGGUAUUGUUAAAAAAUUUUAUUUUGAUAUUAGUUUGAAUUUUUUUGACUAAUGUCUUAUUUUGUACUUCCUAGGAGAAUUCACAUGUGAAUCACUUGAAUAACCCAAGUGUUAUUCCAUCUUCAACGAAGGGGAAAGAAAAAAUUGGUUGUUCUAUUGGAAAAGAAAAUUGGUUUAAUCAACCGGUAUAUUGUACUAAUCAUUGUUUAUCUUUUGAUAAAAAUUGUCGGUGAUAUUUUUGAGUUCUUCACCCCUCAAUCUCAAUCUCAAUCUCAAUCUCAAUCUCAGUCUCACUCUCACACUUCUCUCUCACGCACACACGACUCCAUACCAUCAUCGAGUAGAAUUGUCUAAGUGUGAAAGUCUAUUUGACUAAGACUAUAUUUCUCGACUUCUCAUGCAAACACACAACACACAAUACAUGCAAAAACACACACAUAUAAUUGUAACCAAUCAAACACUCAUAAUUCAAACUCACACACCAUUAUACUGCCACCAAUACAGAUUUAUGAGUUAAAUCAUCAAUCAAAUGAACCGUUUAAUGAAAUGGUACUAAGAAUACUUUAGUUGAUUGUAAGUUUACAUUCUUACUUAUAUCAAUCUCUCUAAAUUCUUACUUAUAUCAAUCUAAAUCAUUCCUUCAACUACAUACAAAUGUGUGUGCUCACUUGUUUUUUAGAUAAUUCAGGGUAAAAUAAGGGUUCUUAUGUUUCGAAUUUACAGUUGUUUUAUUUUGACUCACAUAUUUCGAUAAUUUUUAUAUUUCAAAUAUUUUCAGGUAUACAUUGAAGGAUACUUGGUGUAAGUCGUAAAGUAAUGGGUUUUAUGCAACAUGUUGUUUCUCUAUUUUCUGCCCAUUUGUAUUUUUUUGUGUUCUAUCUUUUAUAAAGUUAAUUAAUUAUACAUGGUUAUGAUGAUUUUUGGGUAUGGAAUGAUGGUUUUUUUUGUGGUUUGGAUAUGUAUUGAUGAUUAUAAGUUUUGUAGACAUGUUUAAAAUUUUUCGGAUAUCUAUUUUUAAAGGAAACUCUGCCGAAAUUUUGUGAAAUUAGUACCAACUAACUCGAUGUUUUGGUGGUUAGAUAUGUAUUGAUGAUCGAGUAUGUAUGUCUUUAGAUAAUGUAAUAUUUUUUGAAUUUAAUUUUAAUUUUAAAGUUUUGCAACUUACGUCAGGUAAUUGGUUAAUGACUUUUGUUACGUUCCAAGUAAUCAGCAAACUUCUUUCUUGGUAGAAAAAUUGUUUUGUCAGAUUUAUGAUUUGAAAUGUUCUUCAUUUUUUAGUUUUUUAAAUGGUCAAUCAAAGAUCAGACUUCUCUUUUGCGCUGUUUAAAGAUGGUGUAUUAAAUGUAUGUGUAGAGCUGCUUUAAUUGCUUUGGGUAUACGCAUUUCCCUUAAAAGUUUUAAAUGUCAAUAGAGCCUGAUCAUAGUAAAAUAAUUAAUAAUAAAAACUAUCUUGAAACUUGGGGGUAAACUUACCUAUCAAAACAUGAAAAUAAUAAAUGAAAAUUGUAACAAGGAAACAAAAGUAGCUAAAAUGUUGAUAAAUUGAUAAAGAGCCUAUAAAAAUUGCAUCAGGGUGAGCAGAAGAAACUAAACUGCAUUGUUGACAAUUUUAUAGUCACCAUUGAUAGAAACAAUAUAUUGGCAGAAUGGAAUCCAAAAUUACUAAUACUAUGAGAGUCCCAUUUGUCCUUUUUUACCCUUUUCCUUACACCUUGGUUUUGAGUUUUUAAAACUUAGUAAAUAAAUUCCCAUGUUGGUAAUAUUUUUGACUCCCUCUCUACAGCCUGAACUAGCCUCUGGAUAUCACAAAGCAGGAAAACUAAAAGUGUUUCCCCCAAGGAAAAGUAGGUUCCCAAUCCAAAUUGCAAGCCACCAAUGUGUCUGAAAGUUGGAGAGCGUGCAUGUUUCCUCCAAACAGUGAGACAUAGCUUCAGAGAUGGUUCUUGGAUGCCUACCUUGACCCAAAACAGAAGAUAUACAUACUCAAGGUAAGCAUGACUGAUCCUAUUGCCAGUCCCCAUAACAUAUUCUUUUGCACUGAUGCUGCCAUUUCAUGUUUCACCAGUGGUUGAACAAGUUGGAUUCCUUCUUGGCUCAGAGAUAUAUAUUGUUCUAGCAGAAGGCUUCUGCAACCAAGGUAAGGUUCCCAUGGCUCAAUCAAACUGCUUAGCUCUCCAAAAUCCACUGUUGUUUGAAAUUUGUUCUUUUCAUCAGCAAACAAAUCAUCAAAAAUGAUUUGGACUCCUGUAGAGAAAAAUAGACAAUAAAAUCGGAUCAGAUUGAAGUAAUACAACCAAAUAAAAUAUAAUUAGGCAAGCACAUGAUUUAAGGGUGAAACAAGAUUUAGUGGGCAAAAUUUAAUAAUGAAAGAGACAAAGGCAACAUCGCCAAUACCAGAUAUAAUCUUUUGAAUAGUCUCCUCUAAUAAAGUUGAAUCUGAGAAAUUGGUGCUUUGUACUUUGUUUUCAUGCCAUUUAUAAUUCAGGGUAAAGUAAGGGUUCUUUUGUUUCAAAUUUACAGUUGUUUUAUUUUGACUCACAUAUUUCGAUAAUUUUUAUAUUUCAAAUAUUUUCAGGUAUACAUUGAAGGAUAUUUGGUGUAGGCUGUAAAGUAAUGGGUCUUAUGCAACAUGUUUCUCUAUUUUUUGUAUUUCGUCUUUUGUAAAGUUAAUUAAUUAUAGAUGGUUAUGAUGAUUUUUGGAUAUGGAAUGAUUGUUUUUUUGCUGGUUUGGAUAUGUAUUGAUGAUUGUAAGUUUUGUAGAUAGGUUUAAAAUUUUCUGGAUAUCUAUUUUUAAAAAAAAAUUAUGCCAAAAUUUCUUAAAAUUAGUACCGACUAGUUCGAUGUUUUGAUGGUUGGAUAUGUAUUGAUGAUUGAGUAUGUAUGUCUUUAGAUAAUGUAAAAUUUUUUAAUUUUUAAUUUAAUUUUUUGUUACGCCAUGCCUUCAGGCACGGGUUAUAGCUAGUAUAUAUAUAUACACAGACAAUCGAUCUCCAAUGAAUUGGUCCAAUUAGAUUUUUGCCCAUAAUUCUCGUGGAUUUGGACCAAUAUGCCCAACACAUCCCACUGCUGAAUUGAAGAAUCAUGGGUUGUAAUACAUCUUCACACUUGUUCGCUAUCUCCCAGACAUUUCUCCACUUUCUCCCUAAUUUUUUGGCUUAGCUGACAACCUCUGUCCGAACCAUUUCAGUUAAGUGGUAAGUUGAGCUAAUCGAUAUUAAUACUUGGCUGAAAUUCACUAAACCCAAUUUUGAAAAUUGAGAUUUGGGUGUAAAGAGAAGAGCACACAAUACACUCCAGAACAUCCAAUUUUUCAACCUUUUUUUUGUUGUAAAUUUAGCUUAGGUUACAAUAAUUAACUUGUUACGUCAAUCUUUGACUUAGUUAUAUGUUGUAAUAGUUAGUUAUAUUGGACUUACAACUUGUUAUGUCUAUUUGAACUUAGUUGUGUAUUCAAUCUUGAAUCUGCAUUUUGUUACAUUCAUACGGACUUAGUUGCAUAUUCAACCCCAGUUGUUUACUUAUAUCUAGACCGUCAUAUGAUGAUGUUGAAUUCCUCUAUACUUUGCCAACAGUGUAUUAAUCCGAG